CAACAUCACUCUCAUGGCUUCUUCCUCUUUGACUCAGGUCUACCUGAGUUUCCACGGCCCAGACCUUCCUAGAGUAUUUCUCAAUCAUUUACACGAUCACUUUGCACGCAAGGGAAUGACGACGUUCAAGGAGGUCAAAACAGGCCAGACGAUCGGACCUGAAUCCCUAAAAGCGAUAAGAGAAUCGAGAGUCUCGAUCGUGGUGCUAUCUAAGAAUUAUAUAUCAUCAAGAUGGUGUUUGGAUGAGCUGGUUGAAAUCUUUAAGUGCAAUGAAGCUUCGGGUCAGAUGAUUGUGAUGCCUAUUUUUUUACCAAAUUAGUCCGUCCCUUGUACGGCUACUAGAGGGGGAAUUCGGAAGAUGCUUUAUUGAGAGAACUUGUCAAGGGGAAACAGAGGAAGUGAAGAAGAGAUGGAGCAGUGCUUUGGCACAUGUAGGAUCUCUCCGUGGAGAUUAUUCUCUAUUCUGGGAUGAUGAUGCGGCAAUGGUUGGAAAUAUUGCGGCUCGUGUUUCCCGCAUACUUAAAGGGUAAAUACUGCGGUUUGUGUUUCCAGGAUACAAGCAACAGCGAAUCACACAUAUAUAAGAUUAAAAACACAUAUAUGUCUUAUGAACACAUUUAGAUCGGUCUCUUCUUCCUUCUCUUCACGACUCUACGGUGGCGGGAUGGUGAUGGUCCUGUGUCACCUUCUCCGUUCGCCUCCCGUCUUCCUGGCUCGCCGGUGGUCCUGAGCCGGCGAGUAUCCGCAGCUUUGUGGGGAGGCGGCUACGAUUAGGUUUUCUGAUAGUAGAUUAGGGUUUCUGAUUUAAAUUGGUUAGCUACCGGUUUAGAUUAGUUUUAACCCGGGUCGAUUUUGGUUUGGUUAUCUGGUUUGGUUUGAUGUAAUUGGACUGGGUCUUAAGGGGAUUAAUGUAUGGGCCUAUUCCGAAAAUAGUACAUUGUACAUAUGUUUUUAAUAAAUUGCAAG